AGAGGAGAACAGGGGCACAGAGAACACGGGGCACAGCUGAAGAGAGGUCUAUGAUUUUGGAGCAGAGGAAUGACACCAUGUGGAAGACGAUGGAGUCUUGUAGGGAAGUAGACAUGAAACGUUUUAAAAGAAAAAAUGUUGACCCAGGAAUGUAGCUCUCUUGCUGGCAGAUACAAGACCCAGAGUUAUCAGCAACACACACACACACACACACACACACACACACACACACACUGUGGGAAAUAUAUGGACUGAACAUAGGAAAUUAAGAGAGUUUAGAGAAAGCAUAAAGCUGACUACUUGAAACAGGGAAUUUCAGAAGAAGAAACUAAGAUGAAAUCGGACGUUGUUGGGACAUAUGAGUGAGAAGAUGUAACAUCAGAAUCUUAAGCACCAGCUGUGGAAUUUGAUACUGUUUGCGAGACUAUGAGGAGAUGUGUAGGUUAUGGGAACAACCACAGCAAUGAGAUCUCACAGCCCACUUAGGGACCUGCUCUUGAUGUGCGGCAGGGAUGGAAAAAACAAAAACAAAAGAAGAAGAGAAGCAGAUAGAUGGAGGUAUUUCUCAAACAGUGGUCCUGAGGAGAGAAAGGGAAGCAUGGACUGAGGUACAGACCUUUGCUCAGCAGAGGAGAGCAAUGUGUGAGAUGGGAGUCAGGGACACUGAGAACUGGCAGGUGUGGGAGUGUGUGUGUGUGGCAGGUGUACGGUUUUAGAUCACUCCAAACGGCAGAUUUCCUGGACGCCUUCCUGGGGAGUCAGGAACACCAUCAUGGAGAGACCGCUACAGAAAUGAUAAGGAUGAGUUGUGGGAGGAAAUAAAAAUUCCAGGAGACAACGAAGGCAGGAAGCUCAGAGUUAGAUUAGUGGCCAAAGAUACAAAAACCGAGUUCGCAUAUUUUUAAACUAUAUGUCGCCCUAUCCCCCAAAAAGGCCCGUUGCAAAUUAUAUGCCUUUCGAAUGGGGUUAGGUCAGUCCAGAAGCCCGCAUUCUCAGUUCUCAAGGAGACCACGUGCACUGUGUUACCAUGUAAAACCACCAAUGGAAAUUAAGGUCCUACGCAGAAAAAUAUUUAUACAACUGCUGGGGCCACUCAGAUUCCACCGGUGUGUAGGCGGGGAAAGAGGAGGAGUAAAGAAUGUUUACCAACGAAGUACACAGCAGCCCUAUCUAAGAACCAGGAAUUGGGGUCCCUAGCUUUAAAUUAGGGGUGCGUUGUUUCUUUGGGAUUCACCUCAAGGCUUUUCAGCCUAUCUAGGCGAUAACCUCUCAAAAGCGGAGCCAUUCUAGCGUCCAGGCCCAGGUUUGAGGCCAUGAUGACUCAACGCAGCAUCCCCUCCCCGUGACAAACAGCGGUCUCCGCCUAUUCCCAAUCAAUAUCAACCAGGCUCUCUGGGCGCCAGGAUUCCCAGUGCUUAGCUGGUGGGUAAAGGGGCUCAUCCCCUUCCCCAUAACCCAGCAGGCUAGAAGGCUUCUCCACCCAGUCUUCUGGAGUGCGGAGCUCUCGCCAGGAUUCUGCUCUCGAAGGCUUAGAAGGAUGUAACCUCCAGACCGGGAAUUUAAGACGCAAGAACCAGCCAGCGAAUGUGGCAGCCUAGCUCUCGAAUCUGUUCUUAAAUUCUUUUAUCAACAAGACCAAGAACGCUAAGACCGGGCCUCCAAUGUCCCUGGCAACUCCUGCACUGCUAUCUGAUAAUGCUCUGUCCUUCCCUGAACAGCAAGCCAGAUAACUACAGAAAUCUUCCCUGAAAAUGAAGUUUGGCUGGCAGUGAUUAUAAACAGCUGGUGCAGGCUGACAGGAGCGUGAUGGGCUUUACAAGGUUUCAGUCUGCCUGGACGGUCUGGAAAACUCCACUUGAAGCCUGCUCUGGCUGCUGACAAAAUGGAGCGAAUGGAGCUUAGCGUGACUUUGCUGCAUUCUUUGCUGGGGCCAGAAGAGGAUAUUACAUUCCCUGAAACUGAAGUAGGAGCUGCGAACUGAACCUGUGUCCUCUGGAAGAGUAAACCCAGACCACCAGCCCAGAGAUGGUACCACCCACAGAUGGCUGCAACCUUCCCCAUCGAUCACCGACUAAGAAAAUGCCUACAGGCUUGCCUACAGCCCGACGUAAUAGAGGCCGGGUGCUGGUUAAACAGAUAGAGUUUCUAAGAACGUGCUGCACUGCAAGCAAGGUCCGCAUGGCCUCCAGGUGAUCCAUGGCAGUCUGGAGAAGCAGUCACUGGCAACUGCCUCGGUCUUGUAUAAACAAACAUUUGGAGGAAGAAAGAGAAUGAAUGCAAUGGCCACAGCAGGGGCAAGGAGCAGAGGAUGCAGCAUCAUGAUGCCAGAGAACAAGAUGAAAGGGUAGAAGAUGGGGGGAGAAAUCAAGAUGUCACUGAUAACGCAUGUGUGUACGUAACAGGAUGUCAUUUGGGAGGAGAAGCUCCAGCACUUUUUCUGCAGAUUCUCAAGGGAGUCCUUGUUCCAAGAUGAGAUGGGCACCAGUGACUUAUGUUCAUUCGGUUUAGAAGAGAUAAUUCUGAGAUCCCGAGGAGGGACCUCCAAACCUGGACUAUCUGACACUACUGUGUUAUUUCCUGACGUUGCCUCCUUGUAGGAAGCCUACAGCUAUUCUGUUUGACAGAAUGAGAAGACAAGGAACUCAUUCCUGUCAAUCCAGCUUGGGAUUCCUGGACAGUUAAGAAGCGUCAUUGAUUGGAUCUUUGGUGCUGAGGAGGAAAUGGCUAUCCACAGAGACAAACCACUGAACGGCACUUAGUGCUCAUGCCAACCUGACAUGGGCAGUGAAGGUUCCUGACAGAAACCAUCUGGAAAUUAUCCUUUCGCACACAUAGCCCCUGCUUCCUUCUUUAAGUAACCACAUAGAGGUGCGUCUGUUAGAGUAUUGCAGGGGAGAAUAACUAGACAGUGGCAGGAAAAGCAUUUGGGAAGCUGAUUUCUUCUGCUAUUCUGGUUAUCCCUCUAAACAGGCAAUAUUUUUGUUGAAUGGGUACAAUCAGCGGUUUCUUGGAUUUGGCGGAUUUAAAAAUGGACGUGGCACAGGCCCAUUGGUACAUUGAUGUACGGCAAGAAUAAUAAAAACCCAGAGACAUGUUGGGGUUCAAGCUGAAGAUCAGAAAAGCAAAGCAGUCAAGCACUAGAGAGACCUUUUACCUCUACCAGAUCUUCAUACUGAAUAGGCGAAAUCCUGUCUCCACAAAUCCUCAGACUGCACACCACAGAGAGUUCCUGUCUCUUCUCCUUUAUCCUCCUCCUUCUGCCCAGUCAAGUCGCUCCUCUCUCCAUGUCUCUAGUGCUGGGAUUAAAAGUGGAACCACCACCACCCGGAUCUGUUUCUUGACCGAUCUUUGGUAACCCAGGGUGGCCUUGAACUCACAGAGAUCCGUCUGCCUCUGUCUCCUGAGUCCUGGGAUUAGAGGUGUUUGCCAUGACUCCCUGGCCUAUAUGGCUGACUAGUGUGGCUGUUUUGCCCUCUGAUCUUCAGACAAGAUUUAUUUAUUAAAACACAACUAAUAUACCACUAUAUUGAUGUGAGCAGCUUUAGAUAAUGGACGCACCACGGAUAAAGCGUCAGCAUGGAGUCCAGCAGAUUAUAAUGAUACGGGACUCUUACUAAUGACUCUUUGCUUACUGUAUUGUGAAUGAAGUUCCUAAGGAAUAAAAUCUUUACAAUGAAAUAAAAUCUCAAGAAAAGGUUAGGACCUAGUAAAAACAAGUUGUGUUUUAAGAGUGUUUUCUAUAUUCAGCACUGUUGGCUUUCAUUUGUAUUUAGAGACAUGUGUUACACUUACCUGGUUCAUAGUCUUCAGAAAUAAGAAUGGACAUUAUACUUUAAUAUUAAUAAGUUGCAUACACAGAACUAAACACUUUUGUUGAUAAAAGUUGACUAUAAAUGUCCAUGAGUCUAUUUUCUCUUUCUUAAUAGUAGCAUCCAUGUUUAAGAAAACACUAAAGAUUUUUUUAAACAUUUAAAGAUGUGAUGAAUUAUAGCAAUGAGAGCUAUUAGGAUUUCCUUUUCCCUCCAUGCUCCCUCCACGUUACAAUUGCUCCUAAGAAGUCAUGAUGUCCCUUACUUUCCACAUCAUGAACACCAAACUGAGAGAGGAUUAAGGAGUAGGGAGGUGGUUCAGUUGGUAAAGUAUUUGCAGAAUAAGCAUGGGGACCUAAGUUUGAUUCCCAGGACCCACAUAAAAGAAGUCAGGAAUGAUGGCAUGCAUUUAUAAUUCUAGUGCUGAGUAGGUCGAGACAGAUGGAUCCUGGGGCUGGCUGACCACCUGGUCUAAUUUAAUAGGUGAACCACAGAUUCAAGUGCGAGUUCUGUCUCAAAAACCAGGGUGAAUGCCUACUGAAGACUUAUACCUGUGGUUGAAAUUCUGGCUUCCACACAUGUGCAGGCGCCUAUACAUAUAUACGCACUCAAAUAAACAUGCGAACCCAUACCUCUCUCCGUGCACUUGAGUAGUCCAAUUUGGUUCGCUUAUAAUGUCCUACAGGGAGCAUUGUCAAUAGUGAUUUCGUCUCUUUCAUGAGCCCCGAGCUAUCUGAGAGUUCUCUAUAAGGCAUCAGCAGAAAAGCGGAACUUAUGCAUCGAUAAUUUCUUUCUUCUAUUGACAGUAAUAAGGAAAGCUGCCAACAACACCCCUCAGGGUCACCUUCCACUGAGUAUCAGAAUUCUUACUGUGCCCAGAUGCCUAGAAUUGAAGAGGAAAUGAGAUGUGUGAAAUGAAACUCGAGCCCAGAGCAAUAGCUUAAUAUGCUGGAGUUUAUAAAUAACGAUAUGUUUGGCUCAGCCUCCCAUGCUCAUAUAACAGUGGGAAGGAACCAAUAAAUCGCCUUACAACUGUCCCAUGUCAAAUUCAUUCUUCAUGAAUGCAAUUGCAAGUUGUCUGAGGCCUUAGGCUGUAACCCACGUCAGGGCUCUAUGGUUUUCCAAACUACCUAAUCUUUGCCCUCAUCACUGCUUAUGUUCCAAGAGGAGCUGGCUCCAAUUGUAUUUAUUGUGAUAGUGAUGUACUAUUCUAAACAAUUACUAUUUACCAUUACUAAAUACAGUUCUGUAUACAACAGCCCUUUUAUUCCUUCCUCCUCUUCCCCCUCCUCCUUAAAUGGAGGAAUUUGAUUCUACUGUGGUUGAUUAGGACUCGCCCUGGGAUCAGAUUCUUAUUGCAGAUAAUGCCAGUGAGGAAGCAAGGACAUCACUAUGAAGGAUAUAAACCAUAAACUCGGCUUAUCUCUACUGAAUUCUCAUGGACCUCUAAGAAUGGGAGGAUCUGCCUGUUGAUGGUUUUCCCAAAUAAAAGCCACCCAAGGGCAUAGACGUCAUGCGUCAAUGCCAACAAACAAUUGAAA